AACUAGGGGUGGCUUCCAUCUGGAAGAAUCUGGAGACAGGUGCUGCAUGGCUGUCGUCAGCUCGUGUCGUGAGAUGUUGGGUUAAGUCCCGCAACGAGCGCAACCUUGCCUUUAGUUGCCAGCAGUUCGGCUGGGCACUCUAAAGGGACUGCCGGUGUUAAACCGGAGGAAGGUGGGGAUGACGUCAAGUCCUCAUGGCCUUUAUGACCAGGGCUACACACGUACUACAAUGGCCGAUACAAAGGGCAGCGACACUGCGAGGUGAAGCCAAUCCCGUAAAAUCGGUCUCAGUCCGGAUUGGAGUCUGCAACUCGACUCCAUGAAGUUGGAAUCGCUAGUAAUCGUGGAUCAGCAUGCCACGGUGAAUACGUUCCCGGGCCUU
rnacentral:rRNA from 1 species